GAAAGAAGCUGUCCCCUGCAUCCCUGACUAGACCGUGGUACAUUUACUGUCAAAAACAACAAUUUCACAUGGACAAAGGGACAUGUUUAUCAACUUUUACACUUCCCCUGCAGCUGCCUACUGACUGUCUCCCAGACCGGG